AGUAGAAUUGCUGAGUCAUAUGGUAAUUCUGUGUUUUGACUUUUUGAGGAACUGCCAAACUGUUUUCCCACAGUGGCUACAUCAUUGUACAUUCCCAUCAGCAGU
rnacentral:pre_miRNA from 1 species